rnacentral:pre_miRNA from 1 species
UAACUACUCCCUCCGUUCAAAAUUACUUGUCGUAGAAAUGGAUGUAUCUACAACUAAAAUACAUCUAGAUACAUUCAUUUCUUGGACGAGUAAUUCCGAACGGAGGGAGUACUUC